UCGGUGUAGCGGUGAAAUGCGUAGAGAUCGACCAGAACACCGGUGGCGAAGGCGGGUCUCUGGGACAGUUUCCUGACGCUCAGGCACGAAAGCCAGGGGAGCAAACGGGAUUAGAUACCCCGGUAGUCCUGGCCCUAAACGGUGUUCACUUGGUGUGCGGGGAGUCGACCCCCUGCGUGCCGAAGCUAACGCGAUAAGUGAACCGCCUGGGAAGUACGGCCGCAAGGCUAAAACUCAAAGAAAUUGACGGGGGCCCGCACAAGCGGUGGAGCAUGUGGCUUAAUUCGAUGCAACGCGAAGAACCUUACCUGGCCUUGACAUGCUGGUAGUAGAAUCCAGAAACGGAGACGAUCCCGAGCAAUCGGGAAGCCAGCACAGGUGCUGCAUGGUUGUCGUCAGCUCGUGUCGUGAGAUGUUGGCUUAAGUGCCGCAACGAGCGCAACCCUUGUGUUUAGUUGCCUGCGCAAGCGGGAUCUCUAAACAGACUGCCUGGCUUUAAACCAGGAGGAAGGUGGGGAUGACGUCAAAUCAGUAUGGCCCUUACGGCCAGGGCUGCACACGUGCUACAAUGCGCAGUACAGAGGGAUGCAAGACCGCGAGGUGGAGCAAAUCCCAUAAAACUGCGCCCAGUUCAGAUUGAAGGCUGCAACUCGCCUUCAUGAAGCCGGAAUCGCUAGUAAUGGCGCAUCAGCUACGGCGCCGUGAAUACGUUCCCGGGCCUUGUACACACCGCCCGUCACAUCAUGGAAGCUGUUUGCACCCGAAGUCGCCGUGUUAACCGCAAGGAGACAGGCGCCGAAGGUAUGGACAGUGACU
rnacentral:rRNA from 1 species